rnacentral:rRNA from 1 species
AGAGAGAGACAUGCGCGCAUAUCAAUAAGCGGAGGAAAAGAAACUAACAAGGAUUCCCUUAGUAACGGCGAGUGAAGCGGGAAGAGCUCAAAUUUGAAAUCUUCAAGGUUCUACCUUGACGAAUUGUAGUUUAUAGAAGCGUUUUCUGUUAGUGGAGUGGCAAAAGUUCUUUGGAAUAGGACAUCAUAGAGGGUGAGAAUCCCGUAUUUGGUCAUUCCUCCUAGCGUUGUGAUACACUUUCAACGAGUCGGAUUGUUUGGGAAUGCAGUCCAAAAUGGGUGGUAAAUUUCAUCUAAAGCUAAAUAUUGGCGAGAGACCGAUAGCGAACAAGUACCGUGAGGGAAAGAUGAAAAGAACUUUGAAAAGAGAGUUAAACAGUACGUGAAAUUGUCAAAAGGGAAGCGUUUGACACCAGUGUUGUUUUUCCGAAAAUCAAUUACGAAUGUUUUAGUUUUUGAGGAGUUAUGACUUCAUCGGCUUGCUCCUUUCUUUAUGAAACUUUCUUAAUGCACUUUUCGGUUAACAAGUCAACAUCAAUUUCUUUUGUUGUAAAAGGGUAUGAGGAAGGUGGCUUUCUUUUCGGAGAAAGUGUUUAUAGCCUUGUGCCUCUGCAAUCGGAGAGAUUGAGGUCUGCAGCGUAGAUCCUUCGGGGUUAGAUACGUUUGUGCUAAGUUAUAGCUUUUCAUAGACAACUUGUUGACUAUGUUUAGUCUUGUAGCUUACUCGCUUACUGCUAUUUUACCUACGCUUAGGAUGUUGAUAGUCACAGCGUGUAC